rnacentral:rRNA from 1 species
CGCGUAUACGUAGGUGGCAAGCGUAUCCGGAAUAUUGGGCGUAAAGCGCGCGCAGGUGGUUUCUAAGUCUGAUGUGAAAGCCCACGGCUCAACCGUGGAGGGUCAUUGGAAACUGGGAGACUUGAGUGCAGAAGAGGAAAGUGGAAUUUCAUGUGUAGCGGUGAAAUGCGUAGAGAUAUGGAGGAACACCAGUGGCGAAGGCGACUUUCUGGUCUGUAACUGACACUGAGGCGCGAAAGCGUGGGGAGCAAACAGGAUUAGAUACCCUGGUAGUUCACGCCGUAAACGAUGAGUGGUAAGUGUUAGAGGGUUUUCGCCCUUUAGUGCUGAAGUUAACGCAUUAAGCACUCCGCCUGGGGAGUACGGCCGCAAGGCUGAAACUCAAAGGAAUUGACGGGGGCCCGCACAAGCGGUGGAGCAUGUGGUUUAAUUUGAAGCAACGCGAAGAACCUUACCAGGUCUUGACAUCCUUUGACAACCCUAGAGAUAGGGCUUUUCCUUUGGGAGCAGAGUGACAGGUGGUGCAUGGUUGUUGUCAGCUCGUGUCGUGAGAUGUUGGGUUAAGUCCCGCAACGAGCGCAACCCUUGAUUUUAGUUGCCAUCCUUAAGUUGGGCCCUUUAAGGUGACUGCCGGUGACAAACCGGAGGAAGGUGGGGAUGACGUCAAAUCAUCCUGCCCCUUAUGACCUGGGCUACCCCCCUGCUACAAUGGACGGUACAAAGAGCUGCAAGACCCCGAGGUGGAGCUAAUCUCAUAAAACCCUUCUCAGUUCGGAUUGUAGGCUGCAACUCGCCUACCUGAAGCCGGAAUCGCUUGUAAUCGCGGAUCAGCCUGCCGCGGUGAAUACGUUCCCGGGCCUUGUACCCCCCCCCGUCCCCCCCCGAGAGUUUGUAACCCCCGAAGUCGGUGGGGUAACCUUUGGCAGCCU